GAGGAAGUAAGAGUCGUAACAAGGUUUCCGUAGGUGAACCUGCGGAAGGAUCAUUAUGGUACAACAAGGGGGUGCCGGGGCUGUCGCUGACCUUGGUAGGUCGUGCACGCCUCGAGCCUUCUCACUUACAAUCCAACUCACCCUUUGUGCAUCACCGCGUGGGUCACCCUGGUAAAAGGGUGGCUUGCGUUCUCACAUGUACACCCCUUUGGUAAGGUGAUAGUGUAGAAUGUGGUAAUCAAUACAACUGGUACAACGGAUCUCUUGGCUCUCGCAUCGAUGAAGAACGCAGCGAAAUGCGAUACGUAAUGUGAAUUGCAGAAUUCAGUGAAUCAUCGAAUCUUUGAACGCACCUUGCGCCCCUUGGCAUUCCGAGGGGCACACCCGUUUGAGUGUCUGAAUAUCCUCAACCUUCUCUUUGGAGAAGGCUUGGACUUUGGAGGCUUUUGCUGGCCUCUCUUGAAGCCAGCUCCUCUUAAACGCAUUAGCGGUGGUUUCCGUUGGUCAAUCCUUGACGUGAUAAGAUAUUGUCUACGUUUGGGGCUUGGCUGUUUGAGACCCGCUUCUAAUGGUCUCAUAGAGACGCUUUAAUGAACCCUUUGACCUCAAAUCGGGUGAGACUACCCGCUGAACUUAAGCAUAU
rnacentral:rRNA from 1 species